UGCAGUCGAGCGGAAGGUUCUGCACUUAGUAUUUGACCCUGGUAAGUCUACGGAAACUGUCAGGAAAAUAUGAUCUCUAGGCUAGAGGUUAUACGUCGAAUUUUAAGUGUAGAAUACUCGAGCGGCGGACGGCUGAGUAACACGUAGGAACGUACCCCAAAGUGAGGGAUAAGCACCAGAAAUGGUGUCUAAUACCGCAUGUGCUCUAAGGAGUAAAGCUUCGGCGCUUUGGGAACGGCCUGCGCAUGAUUAGCUUGUUGGUGAGGUAAGAGCUCACCAAGGCGACGAUCAUUAGCUGGUCUGAGAGGAUGAUCAGCCAGACUGGAACUGAGAACGGUCCAGACUCCUACGGGAGGCAGCGGUAGGGAAUUUUCCACAAUGGGGGCAACCCUGAUGGAGCAACGCCGCGUGCAGGAUGAAGGCCCUAGGGUCGUAAACUGCUUUUAUCUGUGAAGAUUAUGACGGUAGCAGAUGAAUAAGGAUCGGCUAACUCCGUGCCAGCAGCCGCGGUCAUACGGAGGAUCCAAGCGUUAUCCGGAAUUACUGGGCGUAAAGAGUUGCGUAGGCGGUUAAGUAAGUUGGUAGUGAAAGCGUGGGGCUCAACCUCAUAUCCAUUACCAAAACUGCUUUGACUAGAGAAUGAGAGAGGUCGCUGGAAUUUCUUGUGUAGGAGUGAAAUCCGUAGAUAUAAGAAGGAACACCGAUGGCGUAGGCAGGCGACUGGCUCAUUUCUGACGCUCAGGCACGAAAGCGUGGGGAGCGACCGGGAUUAGAUACCCCGUUAGUCCACGCCGUAAACGAUGGAUGCUAGCUGUUACCCGUAUCGACCCGGGUAGUAGCGAAGCUAACGCGUUAAGCAUCCCGCCUGUGGAGUACGAGCGCAAGCUUAAAACAUAAAGGAA
rnacentral:rRNA from 1 species